CCUACGGGAGGCUGCAGUGAGGAAUAUUGGUCAAUGGACGAAAGUCUGAACCAGCCAAGUAGCGUGAAGGAUGACUGCCCUAUGGGUUGUAAACUUCUUUUAUGUGGGAAUAAAGGGUUCCACGUGUGGGUGUUUGUAGGUACCAUAUGAAUAAGGAUCGGCUAACUCCGUGCCAGCAGCUGCGGUAAUACGGAGGAUCCGAGCGUUAUCCGGAUUUAUUGGGUUUAAAGGGAGCGUAGGUGGGUUGUUAAGUCAGUUGUGAAAGUUUGCGGCUCAACCGUAAAAUUGCAGUUGAUACUGGCAGCCUUGAGUACAGUAGAGGUGGGCGGAAUUCGUGGUGUAGCGGUGAAAUGCUUAGAUAUCACGAAGAACUCCGAUUGCGAAGGCAGCUCACUGGACUGCAACUGACACUGAGGCUCGAAAGUGUGGGUAUCAAACAGGAUUAGAUACCCCUGUAGUC
rnacentral:rRNA from 1 species